AAUUCUGAGUUAUAAAGUCAGAAUUCUGAGUUUUAAAGUCGCAAUUCUGAGUUAUUAAGUCAGAAUUCUGAGUUUAUAUCUCGCAAUUCAGAAGGAAAAAAGGUUAGUCUGGAUCUUCUGUAUGGUCAAGGACAUUGGUGGACCUCCUAAUGGACUGUAUGCUAUAGCCUAAAUGGAAAAUAUUAUAGAGGAUUAUUUUCGGUGCGGUUUUACUAAUAGAGAAAUCUUAAUUUUAUUGGAGGAAUCACACAAUAUAAAGCUCAGUUUACGGACUCUUGAGAGAACGUUAUGUAGGAAUCAGUUGUGGCGGAGACGCAAUAAAACAGACGAGGCCGACGUGGCACGUUUUAUACACCAACAGCUACAGACAUCGGGACGACAACAUGGAUAUCGUUGGAUGCACCAGAAAUGUUGGCUGUCUGGCAUUAUUACAGACAGAGAAACUGUCCGCCAGUUGAUGCGGCUGUUAGAUGGACAAGGGGUUGAUCUGCGCGCUCGCGGUCGUCUACGGCGACGCAUGUAUAACAGCCGCGGACCAAACUAUGUUUGGCAUAUUGACGGAUACGACAAGUUAAAACCUUACGGAAUAUGCAUAAACGGAUGCAUUGACGGGUUUUCCAGAAAAAUGAUCUGGCUUGAAGCAUACAAAACGAACAAUGACCCACGAGUAAUUGCGGGUUAUUUCCUACAAGCUGUGGCUGAAAAUAACGGAUUUCCACAAAGAAUUCGCAUUGACCAUGGAACUGAAAAUACGCAUUUAGCAGAUAUGCAGACAUUCUUCAGAGGCACUGCUAGUGCCGAAUCUGUCACUCUUGGUCCAAGCACGGGGAACCAGAGAAUUGAACGAUGGUGGUCCACUUUGAGAAGCCAGUGCAUACAAUUUUGGAUGGAUCAUUUUGAACAGCUAAAAGAAGAUGGGCACUUUGUUGAUACGUUCAUUGACAAAUCUCUCAUCCAGUUCUGUUUUCAGCAUUCUAUACAGGAAGAGCUUGAUGAAAUAGUCAGUGCCUGGAAUUGCCACAGGAUAAGGCCAACUCACAACCCACGUGCUCCCAGUGGUCGACCUUCAAUAAUGUUUGCAGUUCCCAGCUUAUAUGGAGUGCAGAAUUUCUUGCAUCCAAUUGAACAAACAAAACUGAGUAUUUGUAAAGAGGAGUGUUUAGUUAAAGACUACCCUUGUGAUGAGGAUGUCUUUCAACUGUGCGUACAACUCCUGGAUGAACAUAACCUUGCACUGUCAGAUGAUGUUUAUGAAAUUACAGACCUGUACCUUAAGCUUCGUGAACUGAUCCUUGAAGGACUGGACUUGGAUGACUAGAUGCACCAUUGAGAUCUUAUCUACAACAUUCACUAGAAGUCCCAAAAGAACCUUCUGGGGUUAAAAAUCUCUGCAAUUCCCACCUUACUUUCACUGUGCUGUGUCUGUCUUUCAAGAUAACAGGUGAGCUAUAUUUCACUUUAUGAUUAUUUGGCUAUGAUUAUUAAUCUUGUUACCAUUGUGCCCCAGACUGUUCAUUGUAAUUAACUUUCAAGUCAACACUUACCUUUGCUUAAUUUUCUCAUAUUUAAAUAUUAUCCACUGUAGAAGCUUUGCUAUUUAUUGUGGCUAAGAAGCAAGGCUAAAAAAGCACUAAGGCAGCAAAGGACAGCUUAAUGUGUAUUGAAUGCAUGAAUGAUUCAGUAUAGAGUUAUACCAAUUCAAAUAUGUAUGCACUAGUCAGUGCAGUUUUGUAAUUAAAACAUUGUGUUCACUGAACAACAUUCUACCAAGAAGGUGUGUAUACUUUGCUUAUGCACAUUAACCAAUAAAACAACACAAUACUGAACACAAAAAGUCAUUACAUCUUUAAUUAUGUAACUGAUAACAAGCCAGUUGUCUAAAUGCCAUAGUGUAUAAUUUAAGGGCAUAGUAUUUAAAUUGGGAUAGCCACUGACAUGUCAUAUAUUUAUAUGAAAAAAUUCUAUAAACAAAACAUUAACACCAUAACAUUAUUGAUACAACUGGAAUUGUAAUUUUUCUGCAUUACAAUUGUGUUACUACUGAGCUGCAUUUAAUAGACAUAUCACAUAACAUAGCUUUUUUCAUGUACCCUUGAAAAAAUGUGAGGUGCCUGGGGCACAUAAACAGCAUGCACAAUGCUCACAGCAAACAAAGAAUAAUUUUAAAACAUAAAUUCUGUCUUACUAAUGAAUGAGUAAAUGAAUGAAUGACACAUCUGAUGUAGCUUCUGUGCCACUGUGGCAAUUGAAGGAUGUAUUUCAUUGAUGCUGAUUGCAUUUGAUUAGUAACAGCCCUAUCUUCUAGGGUUAUGGGAUCAAUAAACCUAUACAUAUUAAGAUGGAACAACUGUUUACAUGAUUUUCAUACACCCUUCAGGAUCCCUUGUCUGUCAGACACAGUGCUUAAGAAUGAAUCAAUAAUUUGUUCCAGACCAUCCCAUCAUCAAGUGCAAAAGAAGGCCAGCAAGCUUAGAUGAGAUAAGAAUAAAAAUGCAUCAAGAUGCACUUCAUACAAAAUUAAAUUAAUAAUUUUUUUAUGACUACUUUUUAAAUGUAUAAACAUCUUUCCCAACUACAGUAAUGUAAAUUUUUUACAUGAUUUCAAACACUUUUGUGGUGCUCCACCUUUACUUUCAGACCUAACCUGAAUGCAAAUGAAACAGAGGACGUGAGUUUUAGAAGAAACAGUGUUUUGCUACUAAAAAGUAAAACAAUUUUGUUUAAACUGUAAAGCAUUAGUACUGAAACUGUUCAAAAUUGAUAGAAUUUUCAUUUGUUUCACCUUGAAAAGAGUAUAAAGGGGAGGUAUAUUUAAAAUAUAAACUAAAGGGUUUUACAGGUAAACUGAUAUGUUGUCUGUAUUUUGUGUUAUACCUAAAAUAAAAAUU